GGGAAACUGCCUGAUGGAGGGGGAUAACUACUGGAAACGGUAGCUAAUACCGCAUAACGUCGCAAGACCAAAGAGGGGGACCUUCGGGCCUCUUGCCAUCGGAUGUGCCCAGAUGGGAUUAGCUAGUAGGUGGGGUAACGGCUCACCUAGGCGACGAUCCCUAGCUGGUCUGAGAGGAUGACCAGCCACACUGGAACUGAGACACGGUCCAGACUCCUACGGGAGGCAGCAGUGGGGAAUAUUGCACAAUGGGCGCAAGCCUGAUGCAGCCAUGCCGCGUGUAUGAAGAAGGCCUUCGGGUUGUAAAGUACUUUCAGCGGGGAGGAAGGGAGUAAAGUUAAUACCUUUGCUCAUUGACGUUACCCGCAGAAGAAGCACCGGCUAACUCCGUGCCAGCAGCCGCGGUAAUACGGAGGGUGCAAGCGUUAAUCGGAAUUACUGGGCGUAAAGCGCACGCAGGCGGUUUGUUAAGUCAGAUGUGAAAUCCCCGGGCUCAACCUGGGAACUGCAUCUGAUACUGGCAAGCUUGAGUCUCGUAGAGGGGGGUAGAAUUCCAGGUGUAGCGGUGAAAUGCGUAGAGAUCUGGAGGAAUACCGGUGGCGAAGGCGGCCCCCUGGACGAAGACUGACGCUCAGG
rnacentral:rRNA from 1 species